ensembl:lncRNA
GGUUCCGCUCACCGCGCCGCGGCCGCUCCGUGCGCGCUUCUCUGCGGCUCGGGGCUGCCGGAACCGUGAGGAAAAACAGAUGAAUAGGGGCAAGGCUGGAAAUUGUUACAUAGUUCACUUUAAAGGCCGAAUGGAUUUUAUGUUGAGGGGUAAACGCAAACCCAUCCACUAAAGUCAGACGUGCCUUCUUUUUCAGGGCUAAUGGAAUGAGUCAUCGACAGGGUGGAUUAUUUAAAGCGCCAUGCGUGUGCUGCAGUCGCCAGAGGAGUGAUGGGGGCUUUCAAGGGUGUGUGAUGGGGGUGCCACCACAGCCACGCAGCUGCCAGAGGGCAGUGGAAACGUGGAGGAGGAAAAUUAAGCUGUGAACUGGAAUUCCAUCAGGCUGUCUGCCGUGAAGCCCUGCGGCUUUAGCAAACAGGCAGCAGUGGUCAGAAAUGACACUCAAAAGAACUGUCUGCAUUAAUAACAAGUACCUCCACUUGGAAAUUAUUUACAUGAAACAUUGUUCUCACAUCACUGCUACUGACAGCGGCUCCGGACUGGGUGAGAGAAGGACACCGUGAUGAAUUUACCCAUACCUACCUUACUGUGCUGCGUGAGACGAGGAGAGCUCAAAGACUUCAGAGAAGUUUGAAACCUUAAUCCCUGAAUAAUGCCUCCACCUGCCUCCUGGUUUUCUUUGGGGACUUUCCAGCGCUGGCCAGUCCUGACCCUAUCUGACUUCAGGGACAAUCCCAGUGUCUUGGGCUCCGAAAAAAGAGUGAAACAGUGACUGGAAAUGGUGCAGAGCUCAAGGGAGAAGAAUCUCCAGGAACAGGGGGAAAGAAAAAACGUGGGGCUGCACAAAGCCUGCGAGUUCUUCCUUUUGGAAGCGGGCACGCACCCAGGAGGAGGGAGCAGGAACAAAGGCCAGGCACCUGCGCACCCACCUCGUGCCACCACCAGGAGCCGGCCAGCGGAGCUGCAAGGACAGCAAGGACAGCAUGUCCCCAGCCCUUGCCCAGCGCAGCGAACAGCCCGGCUUGGAGAGGAGAAUCAUUAAAAAUAAUUUGCAGGAGCUUUCUGUUCAGUGAGCCCUUUUUUUUUUGAUACAAUAUUUCCUUCAGUGAUUAUCGCCACGGACAUGUUCUGCCAUAUGGAUGGAGCCGGGCGAGGAGGCGGCUCAAUACCUGAGUGGUUAAUUAAGAGCUGUUGCUGGGCCACAAGAAGCAGGUUUGAAAUCCCUCUUCACUCACCGACAAUGAGUAGCUUUUUUAGCAGCAGCAGUCACUGGGGACAGCCAGAAGCGCAGGGUAAUUAUUUGAGAUAACAUAGAGCUGAAGAGCGCGUGUGCGCGCCCAUGUGUGCGAGGGGGAGCGCGCCGGCAAGGAGGGCAAUGCUACAGAAAGUUUACAAUACAAAGGUCAACAUCUCCUAUUUUUCUGUACAGUGUCGGCAGUCUGUAAUGCCUUUUUAGAGUGAAUGACAAUGGAUUCUAUCUUUUUUUUUUUUCCUCUUAAAAAAUGAAUAUCUUAUUUGGUAUUCAAACUUCGCAACUGUGAGCGUGGGGCAGCUGGGCCAACCUGAACGAGCCAUGCUCACGUUAUUGGCGCGGAUGAUGAAAUGACUUUGAUUGCCUUGUUGCAAAGUAGCAGUAAUUCCAACAUUAACUCAUGGAAACACUGCAUACUCUCAAGAACAAAGGAGAAAAGCGGUGAAACAAAAGCCAUGAAUGAACUGAAGAACGUCCUUAACACAGACGUUUAGGGCUAAAUUCUCAGCACACUGCCACAGGAACAGCAGAGACUGUUGGCUUUAACCAGGGGACUCACCUGAGUCAGAUGAGUGUCUGGGCUUUGGCUACCACAUUGUUUGUGGUCAGGGGCACCUGGGAGGUACCACUGAGGCCCUUCAGAACAUCAGUGUUCUCCAGCAGAGAUGUUCAGGGAUGCUCUUGUAGCAAUGCAUCCUGCUCAUUAGUUCUCCCAAAUGACAAAAAGCAGCAAAGUAGCUUAUAAAAGUGUUAUUUUCUACAGUGCUUCAUCUCUGAAGUGUUUAUGAAGUGCAGGACCAAGGUGCCAUUCCAGCCUACCACUGCCCAGUAUUCAGAUAGAAAGCAAACUAUGAAGCAGUGCACUGAAGUCCAUUUCAUUUCUCAGAGCUGCAGAGAGUAUGAGCAUCUGUUCUCUAACCAUCAAAGCUCAUCUACAUCAGGAGCUCAGAAUGCUAUUUCCCUGUUUGUUUGUGUGUUUCUAAGAAGGUCUUUCUACUCCUUUACUGAGAAGCCAAAUGAUGAAACCUCUGUCAUGUGUUUUUGGCAUUUCCAGAAAAUCCCACAUGUGAUUUCCAACUUAGGAGGCUUAAAUCUCCAUCCAAACAGGCGCUGUGUGCAGCUCACACAAGCAUUUAGCUUUGUGCUGUAGGGUAAAAAUAAAUUCAAGAGAGAGAACCUUC